rnacentral:lncRNA from 1 species
AUCACCCAUGUGCUGCAGUUUACAGAGAGUGCUUUGACCAGAGAAAAGUUUCCUAAUGUGACAGGAAGGUUUCAGCAAGAGAUACAGUGAGCUGGUGAUGCUAGGGAAACUGGGAUCUCCUUGAUUUUAUUCAGUCCACAUUGAUUCAUUCUGAAGAAGGUGCUAAGUAUACACUGCACGCUGUUCACUUGACAGCCAACCAGAAGGUGGGAGUCCCCAUGCCAUUCAAAGUGCCCUUUCAGGAAAUGAAGGUGCAAAGUGUCGACAAGGGGUUUCUGUCCUCCAUCUCCCAAUGACCCUCUGCAGAUCUAUUUCAGGGCAGGCAUUACACCAACAGGAACAUCAUCGGAUGCUCCGUGUGGCCCCAGCUGCUGCAGCCCAGCGCAGAGGGGAGAUUGACACGUGAUUCUUUGCAGUCGCCAGAGGUAACUUGUCACGUACCUAAACCCAAAGGGAUCUGAUGGUCAAGGUGCCAUCUCAUGCGGCAAUGCCCCUGACUGGAUGCGGCGUUGAGAUGUCCAAGGCCAGUGUGGAUCAGUG